rnacentral:rRNA from 1 species
AAUAGAUACCCUGGUAGUCCACGCCGUAAACGAUGAGUGCUAAGUGUUAGGGGGUUUCCGCCCCUUAGUGCUGCAGCUAACGCAUUAAGCACUCCGCCUGGGGAGUACGGUCGCAAGACUGAAACUCAAAGGAAUUGACGGGGGCCCGCACAAGCGGUGGAGCAUGUGGUUUAAUUCGAAGCAACGCGAAGAACCUUACCAGGUCUUGACAUCCCACUGACCGCUAUGGAGACAUAGUUUUCCCUUCGGGGACAGUGGUGACAGGUGGUGCAUGGUUGUCGUCAGCUCGUGUCGUGAGAUGUUGGGUUAAGUCCCGCAACGAGCGCAACCCUUGAUCUUAGUUGCCAUCAUUUAGUUGGGCACUCUAAGGUGACUGCCGGUGACAAACCGGAGGAAGGUGGGGAUGACGUCAAAUCAUCAUGCCCCUUAUGACCUGGGCUACACACGUGCUACAAUGGACGGUACAAACGGUUGCCAACCCGCGAGGGGGAGCUAAUCCGAUAAAACCGUUCUCAGUUCGGAUUGUAGGCUGCAACUCGCCUAC